rnacentral:rRNA from 1 species
UACUGAUUGAGAUUUUAACACGAAGUGAGUGGCGAACGGGUGAGUAACACGUGGGUAACCUGCCCAGAAGUAGGGGAUAACACCUGGAAACAGAUGCUAAUACCGUAUAACAGAGAAAACCGCAUGGUUUUCUUUUAAAAGAUGGCUCUGCUAUCACUUCUGGAUGGACCCGCGGCGUAUUAGCUAGUUGGUGAGGUAAAGGCUCACCAAGGCAGUGAUACGUAGCCGACCUGAGAGGGUAAUCGGCCACAUUGGGACUGAGACACGGCCCAGACUCC